GAUGAACGCUGGCGGCGUGCUUAACACAUGCAAGUCGAACGAGAGAAGACCGGUGCUUGCACUGAUCCGAUCGAGUGGCGGACGGGUGAGUAACGCGUGGGGAACCUGCCUCAUACAGGGGAAUAACAGUUGGAAACGGCUGCUAAAACCGCAUAAGCGCACAGUAUCGCAUGAUACAGUGUGAAAAACUCCGGUGGUAUGAGAUGGACCCGCGUCUGAUUAGCUAGUUGGUGAGGUAACGGCCCACCAAGGCAACGAUCAGUAGCCGGCCUGGGAGGGUGAACGGCCACGUUGGGACUGAGACACGGCCCAAACUCCUACGGGAGGCAGCAGUGGGGAAUAUUGCGCAAUGGGGGAAACCCUGAUGCAGCGACGCCGCGUGAGUGACGAAGUAUUUCGGUAUGUAAAGCUCUAUCAGCAGGGAAGAUAAUGACGGUACCUGACUAAGAAGCACCGGCUAAAUACGUGCCAGCCGCCGCCGUAA
rnacentral:rRNA from 1 species